rnacentral:rRNA from 1 species
CCUACGGGAGGCAGCAGUGGGGAAUAUUGCACAAUGGGGGAAACCCUGAUGCAGCGACGCCGCGUGAAGGAAGAAGUAUUUCGGUAUGUAAACUUCUAUCAGCAGGGAAGAAAAUGACGGUACCUAACUAAAAAGCCCCGGCUAACUACGGGCCAGCAGCCGCGGUAAUACGUAGGGGGCAAGCGUUACCCGGAUUUACUGGGCGGAAGGGGAGCGUAGGCGGCGAUGCAAGUCAGAAGUGAAAGCCCGGGGCGCAACUCCGGGACUGCUUUUGAAACUGUAUGGCUAGAUUGCAGGAGAGGCAAGUGGAAUUCCUAGUGUAGCGGUGAAAUGCGUAGAUAUUAGGAGGAACACCAGUGGCGAAGGCGGCUUGCUGGACUGUAAAUGACGCUGAGGCUCGAAAGCGUGGGGAGCAAACAGGAUUAGAUACCCGAGUAGUC